GACGAACGCUGGCGGCGUGCUUAACACAUGCAAGUCGAACGGAAAGGCCCUGCUUUUGUGGGGUGCUCGAGUGGCGAACGGGUGAGUAACACGUGAGUAACCUGCCCCUGACUUUGGGAUAACUUCAGGAAACUGGGGCUAAUACCGGAUAGGAGCUCCUGCUGCAUGGUGGGCGUUGGAACGUUUCGGCGGUUGGGGAUGGACUCGCGGCUUAUCAGCUUGUUGGUGGGGUAGUGGCUUACCAAGGCUUUGACGCGUAGCCGGCCUGAGAGGGUGACCGGCCACAUUGCGUUUGAGAUACGGCCCGGACUCCUACGAUAGGCAGGGGAGCAGAAUGUUGCAUAGUGGGAGGGGUGCUGAUCCGACAACGCCGCGCGCGGGAAGUCGACUUUCUCGGUGGAUACCGCUGUCGCUUGUGACGAGGCGUUAGUGACGGUAAUGUGUAAAGAAGCACCGGCUAACUACGUG
rnacentral:rRNA from 1 species